GCCUAUGGCCACACUGCUCAGGAUGUGCCUGCUCUUAGAAGCUACGCAGUGCUGGGGCUGGUCGGUACCUGGAUAGGAGACUGCUUGGGUUCACCAGAUGGUGUAGGUU
rnacentral:rRNA from 1 species